rnacentral:lncRNA from 13 species
AUGGAGGCUGUUUUAGAACUGUUGGUGAUCUCAGCAGGAGUGUCUCAUGGCUUGGAAACUUCCUGUGAUGCUAGAGAAGAUGGAUCUCAGUGUUAUGGAGCUCUGGGAGGAACUGUCUAUCUCCAGCUGGUGACUGAUGCCACGAGAUAUGAUGCGCUCUCAUUUUGGAAAGGCUCAACCGGUGCUAAAACAGAGAUACUGAAAAUGAAGAAGGACAAAUGGGUAAUAAAAGACACCCCCAUUGAAGACAGAGUACACUUCUUUAUAAACAAUGGGACAUUGAGGUUAAAUAACACAAGAAGGAAUGAUUCUGGUGAAUGCCUGCAAGAAACAUUUAAUUCAGCAGGGAGAUUAUCAGGGAUCAGAAGACUACAACUGUUCAUCGAAGCUCCAGUGUCCAGUCCUCAGCUGUCCUCUGAGUGUCUGUCUCAUGGAGAGAUGAGGGUGUCCUGCUCCUCUGAGGGGGAUGGUCCCCAGUACAGCUGGACUCUGGAUGUACAGACGCUGAGAGACACUGAGACCUCUCCUGGUGAAGAGACAAACACCAUCACUCUGAAGAAAGACCUGUCAGGAGAUCUCACCUGUACUGUCAGAAACAACAUCAAUAGUGAUACUGUCAGCAGGAGAAUCUCACACUGUCCAGGGCUGAUAUAUGUUAACUGCACCUUAUCCAACGGGACAAAGAUAUCAGAGUGGGUGAAUGCCACUGGUAAUACCCUGUGUGUUGAGUCUACAACAGUGGUGACUGUGACUGAGUCUCCCACCAGUAAAAUCUUCACUGGUAAGGGCCCGGGGCAUGACACCCUAAUGACCUCCAGACCCAGCAAUCACACCCAGGGCUUGACUAACAGCACUUGUACUAACACCACUCAGACCCUUUGGAUUUUUACCACAAAGUACAUAGGGAUGGCAGCAGGGUCUCUGGCAGGAGUGGUCCUUGUCUUAUUGAUGGUGUUGGCAGUUUACUGUGUCCAGAAGAAAAAUAAACCUCCUUCAAAGGCUCAAGUUAUCUCUCUUUCCACAGUUAAGGGUGACAGCCAGGAUGUGGAAUACGCUGAUGUCAGGAUACUGAGGCAGGAAAUGAGACAGAAGGAGAGGGAGGCGCCGGUGGAGGUGGAAUAUGGGCAAGUGAACGAAGUGUGUGGUCCCCAGCAGCCGGUGGAGGUGGAGUAUGGACAGAUUACAAUAUUAGAGGGUCCCAGGAGGAAGGUAGACAUGCCUGAGGAGGAGUAUUGCAUGUAUGCCAGUGUACGGAAAGGACAGUGA